CCUACGGGAGGCAGCAGUAGGGAAUCUUCCGCAAUGGACGAAAGUCUGACGGAGCAACGCCGCGUGAACGAUGAAGGCCUUCGGGUCGUAAAGUUCUGUUGUUAGGGAAGAACAAGUGCUAGUUAAAUAAGCUGGCACCUUGACGGUACCUAACCAGAAAGCCACGGCUAACUACGUGCCAGCAGCCGCGGUAAUACGUAGGUGGCAAGCGUUGUCCGGAAUUAUUGGGCGUAAAGCGCGCGCAGGCGGUUUCUUAAGUCUGAUGUGAAAGCCCCCGGCUCAACCGGGGAGGGUCAUUGGAAACUGGGAAACUUGAGUGCAGAAGAGGAAAGUGGAAUUCCAAGUGUAGCGGUGAAAUGCGUAGAGAUUUGGAGGAACACCAGUGGCGAAGGCGACUUUCUGGUCUGUAACUGACGCUGAGGCGCGAAAGCGUGGGGAGCAAACAGGAUUAGAUACCCUGGUAGUCCACGCUGUAAACGAUGAGUGCUAAGUGUUAGAGGGUUUCCGCCCUUUAGUGCUGAAGUUAACGCAUUAAGCACUCCGCCUGGGGAUCGGUCGCAAGCUGAAACUCAAAGGAAUUGACGGCUGAGACGNGCGACGACGACGACGAGGGAGGAGG
rnacentral:rRNA from 1 species